CCUACGGGAGGCAGCAGUAGGGAAUUUUCGUCAAUGGGCGCAAGCCUGAACGAGCAAUGCCGCGUGAACGAGGAAGGUUUUCGGAUCGUAAAGUUCUGUUGAAGGGGAAAAGAGCGGAGAGAGGAAAUGGUCUCCGAUUGAUAUUACCCUUCGAGGAAGUCACGGCUAACUACGUGCCAGCAGCCGCGGUAAUACGUAGGUGGCGAGCGUUAUCCGGAAUGAUUGGGGGUAAAGGGUGCGUAGGCGGCCUGCUAAGUCUGGAGUAAAAGGUACCGGCUCAACCGGUACAGGCUCUGGAAACUGGCGGGCUAGAGAGCAGGAGAGGGCGGUGGAACUCCAGGUGUAGCGGUAAAAUGCGUAGAUAUAUGGAAGAACACCAGUGGCGAAGGCGGCCGCCUGGCCUGUUACUGACGCUGAGGCACGAAAGCGUGGGGAGCAAAUAGGAUUAGAUACCCCUGUAGUC
rnacentral:rRNA from 1 species